GGUGGCUCAGUGGUAGAGCGCUUGCCUGCUUGCAUGAGGCCCUGGGUUCGAUUCCUCAGCACCA
rnacentral:tRNA from 1 species